GCUCCCUGAGGGGACAGGCGGGAGGCGCUGAGGGGACGCGCCCGGCCGGGCUCUCACAGCCCGCGGAGACCCUCGGCGCCGCUCCUCGGGCCUCACCGACACAGCCCGGAGCGGGACCUGCCCUCGGGAGGGAGUCUGCCAGGAGCAAUAUGGAGACGGCUUGGAAGUGCUGUGUCCCGCGGUCCCUCGCUGAAAUUUGAUUGGAAAGGCUGGAGCCACAGCAGCUGGGGAGCCACAGAGAGACUGAAGCCGGACAUCAUCCAAAAAUGGCGAGAGAUGACAGGCAUUGAAAAGGUAGCUUCAUUCCAAGCCUGUUCUCCUUGUGAGUCCCUCCUGUCUAAAUAAAGCUGUGGUACUUG